GACGAACGCUGGCGGCGUGCUUAACACAUGCAAGUCGAGCGGUAAGGCCCUUUCGGGGGUACACGAGCGGCGAACGGGUGAGUAACACGUGGGUGACCUGCCCUCAGCUCUGGGAUAAGCCUGGGAAACCGGGUCUAAUACCGGAUAUGACUCCAUGACGCAUGUUGUGGGGUGGAAAGCCUUGUGCGGCUGAGGAUGGGCCCGCGGCCUAUCAGCUUGUUGGUGGGGNGAUGGCCUACCAAGGCGACGACGGGUAGCCGGCCUGAGAGGGCGACCGGCCACACUGGACUGAGACACGGCCCAGACUCCUACGGGAGGCAGCAGUGGGGAAUCUUGCGCAAUGGGCGAAAGCCUGACGCAGCGACGCCGCGUGAGGGAUGACGGCC
rnacentral:rRNA from 1 species